rnacentral:rRNA from 1 species
UAAGGGCUUAUUUAGUAUUAUGGUAGUUGGUUAUGUUAAAAGCUAACCAAGCCUUAGAUGCUUAGCAGGCUUUAACGAGUGAUCUGCCACAACGGGCUUGAAAUAGUGCCUGAACAUUUAUGGCAGCAGUAAAGAAUCUUGGGCAAUGCAUUCAAGUGUGACCCAGCAAGUCUCCGUGGAUGAUGAAGAUAUUAAAAUUAUAUUGUAAAAUUCUAUCUUUUUAUAUUUAUAAUGAAAUAUAAAAAGGAAAGCACAGGCUAAAUUCGUGCCAGCAGCCGCGGUAAUACGGAUUGUGCAAGUCUUUGACCUCGUGACUAGGUGUAAAAGGCCACAUAGGAGGUUAUAUAAGUUAUUGAGUAAAUACAGGGUAUAAACCUUGGAAUCUCAAUAAAACUUUAUAACUAGAAUAUAAAAGGGGUUUAAGAUAUCUUCUAAGUAAAGGUGAAAUUUGUAG